UACGGGGGGGGGCAAGCGUUGUUCGGAAUUACUGGGCGUAAAGGGCUCGUAGGCGGCCAACUAAGUCGGAUGUGAAAUCCCCAGGCUUAACCUGGGAACUGCAUCCGAUACUGGAUGGCUUGAAUCCGGGAGAGGGAUGCGGAAUUCCAGGUGUAGCGGUGAAAUGCGUAGAUAUCUGGAGGAACACCGGUGGCGAAGGCGGCAUCCUGGACCGGCAUUGACGCUGAUGAGCGAAAGCCGGGGAGCAAACGGG
rnacentral:rRNA from 1 species